AAAGAACAGGCCUGAACAUACUGCAGACUGCUGCACUCCAUUGGCAUGUACAGAUCUGAAAAUGAAUGUCAAAUGCACCCAGAUCGAUCCCUAGCAGAGACCAGAAACAGGCAUCAGAAGCCAGUCCAAUAUUGGCAAUGGACCCACCUCUGGUUACUAGUCUGUUCAGGAUCCCGUAGCCAGACUUCUGAAACACAGUGCUAUAUUAUCACUCAGUAUGUCCCUCUACCUCUUUCACUCUGCAUCAUCUAAGACAGGUGUCCUGUAGAAAUAACACUGUCAUUGUGUAUUUACAAACUGUUAUACUGUACAAAUAUUUGGAAAGUUAGAUAGUUUCUUGUCCCUACAAUCAGAUCAGCUGCUACAGGUGUGAAAAACUAUACAUAUGGUCAGCAUUAUGUGCACUGUCAUAAAAAGUAAGAUUGAACUGAGUAUAAUUUUUAAUUAAUUCACUCACAGGGCUGUGCUAAGCUGGGCUUUCAUGUUUUAUGAAGUCUAUUAAACCCCUGAGUUGGAUUACAACCUUUUACUCAACUGAGGACUACAUACUGUAUAUAACAGUUGUCAUUAUUUUGGUAGAAAGCGUUUUAAUAUGUACAGAAAUGUCAAAGCUGUAUUUCAAAUAAUUUAAGAAUGUAAAGUUCCAUUUUUUAAAAAAAUCCUGCAGUAGAUUGUGUUGCAGAUAAGCAGAAACAUGCCGUUGAGUUGAAUGUAGGGCUUUGCGUGAAGCCCAAUAAAAUAAAAGAAACCUAGCUGUGA